rfam:Glycine max cultivar Williams 82 chromosome 14, whole genome shotgun sequence.
UUCUUAUUGGAUGAUGACUGUCAUGUAUCAUGUUCUAAUUGGAUGUCAACUCCAUAAAAGAUGAAAUGCAUUGUUAUUUUCAUUGACCAAUCAGAACAUGACACAACAGUCAUCAUCC